UGGACGUUAAGCUUCAGCUCG
rnacentral:misc_RNA from 1 species